UAAAUUUAAUCUCUGUAGUAUAAUUACCUUAGAUAGAAUAUAACAAGGAAGUGGGUUAGAGUCCUACACAGUGCCGCUACGGUAUUUGCGAUUAGCAUAAGUCCGAUACUUGUACUUUAGUUUUGCUCCGG
rnacentral:ncRNA from 2 species